rnacentral:rRNA from 1 species
GCAAGUCGAGCGGUAACAGAUCUAGCUUGCUCCCAGGCGUCGAGCGGCGGACGGGUGAGUAACGCGUAGGAAUCUACCCAGUAGAGGGGGAUAGCCCGGUGAAAACCGGAUUAAUACCGCAUACGCCCUAAGGGGGAAAGGCCGGGAUCUUCGGACCGGUCACUAUUGGAUGAGCCUGCGUAAGAUUAGCUAGUUGGUAGGGUAAAGGCCUACCAAGGCGACGAUCUUUAGCUGGUCUGAGAGGAUGAUC